rnacentral:lncRNA from 1 species
UCUUUAUUUUUAAUAUCAAGCUUUGUAUUCCAACAAGUGGAUUCACAUCCAUCAUGAAGCAGAUGCUAAUACUGGCCAGCUUAUUUCCAGCUGGUACUUACCUUGUAGAAGGUACUGCUUAUGGCACAUCCCAUUGAAGACCAGCUUCAUGUUGAAAUUCCUUCCUCCCCUGGCAUUGCCACUACAUCCUCCUGAUUUUCCAUUCUUCUCUAUUCAUCUCCUUGCUUGGGAAGUUUUGCUUUUCUCACAUCUUACCCUUAGAUCCUUCCUUUUCAGCCCUCUUCUUUUCUCACUCUACUUGCUCAAGGAGGAUGGUUCCCAAGCCUAUCUCCAGCAGUGAUCUUUCUCCUAAGUGCCAGACAUAUAUUUUCUACUGCCAGCUGGAAACCUCCCCUUGGAUGUUCUUCAGGCAUUUAAAACUCAACACCUACUUUUCCCUCCUUCCUCCCCAUCUGUCUUGGUCAAUGGCAUUGCCAUCCUCUCAGGCUAAGAGCUCAGGGUCAUCAUUCACUUCUCUCUGUUUCUGACACUCAACUCCAGUCUCUGUGUCCUGUAGUGUUCACCUCUUAAAUAUUUUUUCUCUUUCCAAAACCUGCUGUCUUGGUUUAGGUCCUUUGUAUUCAUCAGGAUAAUUAACACUGCUGUUAUAGCUGUCAAACUCGGAACUCUACAUGGCUGAAAAUAACAAAGGCUUGUUGUUAUGGACUCACCCAAACUUGAUGCAGGUUGAGUGAUCUCCAGAUCACUCCUCCAUGCCCUCCUCCAUGUAGUAACUCAAGAUCCAUUCUGUGUUCAUCUUGUGACUCUGCUACAUCAACAGAGGCUUCUAUGAUCUCAGAUGAAAGAGAAGAGACAGAAGAGAAGACAGAACAGCUCUUUGCUUCCUCAAGUAAAGUGACACAAGUUAGAAGUGGCAGACCAUUGGUGAGAACAUGAUCUAACCUAACUUCAAGAAAGUCUGGAAAAUACAGAGAUACAUGAAAUGUAUUUUAUAAUGGCUAGAGCUGGAAACACAUCAUGUAUCCAGAAGGAAAAGGGCAAGAAGAUUGCAGGAUCCACAGACCUGGUAUUCCCAAACAGCUGAACCAGUAUCAGUACACCUCUGGAUUUCCCAUUACUUGAGAAAAAUAAACUCUUUCGUUUUAGCCAC